rnacentral:tRNA from 2 species
GCGGGUGUAGCUCAAUGGUAGAGCAUCAGCUUCCCAAGCUGAGGGCUGAGGGUUCGAUCCCCUUCACCCGCUCCA